rnacentral:rRNA from 1 species
CCUACGGGCGGCUGCAGUGGGGAAUCUUGGGCAAUGGGCGAAAGCCUGACCCAGCGACGCCGCGUGGAGGAAGAAGGCCUUCGGGUCGUAAACUCCUGUUUGGGGAGAAGAACAAGAGAGAAGUUAAUAGCUUCUCUCUCUGACGGUAUCCCCGGAGAAAGCUCCGGCUAAUUACGUGCCAGCAGCCGCGGUAAUACGUAAGGAGCGAGCGUUGUCCGGAUUUACUGGGCGUAAAGGGCUCGUAGGUGGUUUCUUAGGUCUCACGUGAAAUUCCCUGGCUCAACCAGGGAGGGUCGUGGGAAACCGAGAGGCUAGAGGGCAGGAGAGGAGAGUGGAAUUCCCGGUGUAGCGGUGAAAUGCGUAGAGAUCGGGAGGAACACCAGUGGUGAAGACGGCUCUCUGGACUGUCCCUGACACUGAGGAGCGAAAGCCAGGGGAGCAAACCGGAUUAGAUACCCGUGUAGUC